ACGAACGCUGGCGGCGUGCUUAACACAUGCAAGUCGAACGGAAAGGCCCUGCUUUUGUGGGGUGCUCGAGUGGCGAACGGGUGAGUAACACGUGAGUAACCUGCCCUUGACUUUGGGAUAACUUCAGGAAACUGGGGCUAAUACCGGAUAGGAGCUCCUGCUGCAUGGUGGGGGUUGGAAAGUUUCGGCGGUUGGGGAUGGACUCGCGGCUUAUCAGCUUGUUGGUGGGGUAGUGGCUUACCAAGGCUUUGACGGGUAGCGGGCCUGAGAGGGGGGCCGGCCACAUUGGGACUGAGAUACGGCCCAGACUCCUACGGGAGGCAGCAGUGGGGAAUAUUGCACAAUGGUCGGGAGCCUGAUGCAGCAACGCCGCGUGCGGGAUGACGGCCUUCGGGUUGUAAACCGCUUUCGCCUGUGACGAAGCGUGAGUGACGGUAAUGGGUAAAGAAGCACCGGCUAACUACGUG
rnacentral:rRNA from 1 species